rnacentral:rRNA from 1 species
AACGAACGCUGGCGGCAGGCUUAACACAUGCAAGUCGAACGCCCCGCAAGGGGAGUGGCGCACGGGUGAGGAACACGUGGGGAUCUGCCCUUCAGUUCGGAACAACACCGGGAAACUGGUGCUAAUACCGGAUAUACCUUUUGGUCUUGGCGACCGAUUGGGAAAGAUUUAUCGCUGAAGGAUGAACCCGCGUCUGAUUAGCUAGUUGGUGAGGUAACGGCUCACCAAGGCGACGAUCAGUAGCUGGUCUGAGAGGACGAUCAGCCACACUGGAACUGAGACACGGUCCAGACUCCUACGGGAGGCAGCAGUGGGGAAUAUUGGACAAUGGGCGAAAGCCUGAUCCAGCCAUGCCGCGUGAGUGAUGAAGGCCUUCGGGUUGUAAAGCUCUUUUAGAUGGGAAGAUAAUGACGGUACCAUCAGAAUAAGCCCCGGCUAACUUCGUGCCAGCCGCCGCCGUAA